rnacentral:rRNA from 1 species
AUUGAACGCUGGCGGCAGGCCUAACACAUGCAAGUCGAACGAGUGGCGGACGGGUGAGUAAUGUCUGGGAAACUGCCUGAUGGAGGGGGAUAACUACUGGAAACGGUAGCUAAUACCGCAUACCAUCAGAUGUGCCCAGAUGGGAUUAGCUAGGUGGUGGGGUAACGGCUCACCAAGGCGACGAUCCCUAGCUGGUCUGAGAGGAUGACAAGCCACACUGGAAAUGAGACACGGUCCAGACUCCUGCGGGAAGCAGAAGUGGAGAAUAUUGCACAAUGGGCGCAAGCCUGAUGCAGGCAUGCCGCGUGUAUGAAGAAGGCCUUCGGGUUGUAAAGUACUUUCAGCGAGGAGGCGUUACCCGCAGAAGAAGCACCGGCUAACUCCGUGCCAGCAGCCGAGGUAUAC